GUUAGAGAUGAAGCGUUGGCAUGGCCUGGAGAGUGGGGGAGAGGCGUGCCAAGUCCUCUUGCCAGCAUCAUCAUGACCAGCCUUCUGCUCUGCUUCACAGUUCAAAAAAGUUUGCCAGUGAUUCCUGUAAUUUUACUCCAGAAGACCUGGAUUCAAGCAUUAGGAUGUACAGGAACGUCUGGUGUGACUCAGCCUUGCCUUAUAGAUCUGCUUAUCAUUAGAAAGAAGCAUGACUCCACUGAGUCCUGGGCCUACAGGAUAUGCUGGACACAGUGCUAAUGUCCUCGAGACACUAGAAGUAUCCCUAAUGGAGACAAUGAAACUGGUUAGCCCAUUCUCCAUCUAUUUCUCAGAGAAGGAGGUUUAUUCAAAACUCUGUUGUGAACAGGUGCAUGGACCCAUGAAGCAGGAACUUUAGCUGUUCUUCUCAGUACCUUGUUGGUACACACUUUCUCACCAAUAACCAGUUCUAUGGUUUAGAAAAACCGCAAA